AUUGAACGCUGGCGGCAUGCCUUACACAUGCAAGUCGAACGGCAGUACGGGAGCAAUCCUGGUGGCGAGUGGCGAACGGGUGAGUAAUACAUCGGAACGUGCCCUGUCGUGGGGGAUAACUAGUCGAAAGAUUAGCUAAUACCGCAUACGACCUGAGGGUGAAAGCGGGGGACCGUAAGGCCUCGCGCGAUAGGAGCGGCCGAUGUCUGAUUAGCUAGUUGGUGGGGUAAAGGCCCACCAAGGCGACGAUCAGUAGCUGGUCUGAGAGGACGAUCAGCCACACUGGGACUGAGACACGGCCCAGACUCCUACGGGAGGCAGCAGUGGGGAAUUUUGGACAAUGGGGGCAACCCUGAUCCAGCAAUGCCGCGUGUGUGAAGAAGGCCUUCGGGUUGUAAAGCACUUUUGUCCGGAAAGAAAUCCCUUGCCCUAAUACGGCGGGGGGAUGACGGUACCGGAAGAAUAAGCACCGGCUAACUACGUGCCAGCAGCCGCGGUAAUACGUAGGGUGCGAGCGUUAAUCGGAAUUACUGGGCGUAAAGCGUGCGCAGGCGGUUUUGUAAGACAGGCGUGAAAUCCCCGAGCUCAACUUGGGAAUGGCGCUUGUGACUGCAAGGCUAGAGUAUGUCAGAGGGGGGUAGAAUUCCACGU
rnacentral:rRNA from 1 species